GACGAACGCUGGCGGCGUGCCUAACACAUGCAAGUCGAACGGAACUGUUUUGAAAGAUUUCUUCGGAAUGAAUUUGAUUUAGUUUAGUGGCGGACGGGUGAGUAACGCGUGAGUAACCUGCCUUCAAGAGGGGAAUAACAUUCUGAAAAGAAUGCUAAUACCGCAUGACAUAUCGGAACCACAUGGUUUUGAUAUCAAAGAUUUUAUCGCUUGAAGAUGGACUCGCGUCCGAUUAGUUAGUUGGUGAGGUAACGGCUCACCAAGACCGCGAUCGGUAGCCGGACUGAGAGGUUGAACGGCCACAUUGGGACGGAGACACGGCCCAGACUCCUACGGGAGGCAGCAGUGGGGGAUAUUGCGAAAUGGGGGCAACCCUGACGGAGCAACGCCGCGUGAAGGAUGAAGGUUUUCGGAUUGUAAACUUCUUUUAUUAAGGACGAAAAAUGACGGUACUUAAUGAAUAAGCCCCGGCUAACUACGUG
rnacentral:rRNA from 1 species